GACGAACGCUGGCGGCGUGCUUAACACAUGCAAGUCGUGCGGUAAGGCCCCUUCGGGGGUACACGAGCGGCGAACGGGUGAGUAACACGUGAGCAACCUGCCCUUCACUUCGGGAUAACUGCCGGAAACGGUGGCUAAUACCGGAUAUGACCGUCCCGCGCAUGUGGGGUGGUGGAAAGUCCUUGUGGCGGUGGGGGAUGGGCUCGCGGUCUAUCAGCUUGUUGGUGGGGUGAUGGCCUACCAAGGCUUCGACGGGUAGCCGGCCUGAGAGGGUGACCGGCCACACUGGGACUGAGACACGGCCCAGACUCCUACGGGAGGCAGCAGUGGGGAAUAUUGGACAAUGGGCGAAAGCCUGAUCCAGCAACGCCGCGUGAGGGAUGACGGCCUUCGGGUUGUAAACCUCUUUCGCCUGCCACGAAGCGAAAGUGACGGUAGCGGGUAAAGAAGCACCGGCCAACUACGUGCCAGCCGCCGCAGUAAUAC
rnacentral:rRNA from 1 species